rnacentral:rRNA from 1 species
GACGAACGCUGGCGGCGUGCUUAACACAUGCAAGUCGAACGGAAAGACCCUGCUUUUGUGGGGUGCUCGAGUGGCGAACGGGUGAGUAACACGUGAGUAACCUGCCCUUGACUUUGGGAUAACUUCAGGAAACUGGGGCUAAUACCGCAUAGAAGCUCCUGCUGCAUGGUGGGGGUUGGAAAGUUUCGGCGGUUGGGGAUGGACUCGCGGCUUAUGAGCUUGUUGGUGGGGUAGUGGCGUACCAAGGCUUUGACGGGUAGCCCGCCUGAGAGGGUGACCGGCCACAUUGGGCCUGAGAGACGGCCCAGACUCCUACGGGAGGCAGCAGUGGGGAAUAUUGCACAACGGGCGGAAGCCUGAUGCAGCAACGCCGCGUGCGGGAUGACGGCUUUCGGGUUGUAAACCGCUUUCGCAGGUGACGAAGACUGAUUGACGGUAAUGGGUAAAGAAGCACCGGCUAACUACGUG